GUAGGUUUGCUGGCAACGUUUCUAAAAUAUCAUAAAUAAAAAAGAAUCAGCAAAAUUGUCCACAUUGAUAUACUUAAUUCAGGCAGCUCUAUUUCCAAUAACUCGCAUGACGAAUUUAAAAUUUCUUGAUUCUCAAGGUCGGGCUUGUUGCAAGAAGGCUAGCUAAAGCUUUUAAUCAUUUUCGAUGUAGCAAGACAUGUAGCUUGCUCUCCGAUUCAGGUACUUGCAUUUCUCUUUUAGCUCACGAGAAAUUGUUUAACAUACAGGGGGUGGACUGUGCCGUUACUUUGGGUAGCCAUCAUAAGUUCCAAGCCAAAUUGCUCUUAUAUUUUGCUGACUUGCGUGUUCUGAAAAUGAACAUCAGAUGUGAGAGUUGUCAAAAGAAGGUGAGGAAAAUGUAGCAGACGAUUCAUGGAGUGUAUUCGAUCAACACAGACGCGAAUGAGGACAAGGUGGCCUGUUUGUAACCAUGCACGAGAGAGCAGGGAAAAAUUCAGAACUUUUCUGGGAGCAUGCUAAAUCCCAGUUGAUGAACGAGCAUAACCAGGCGGAGCACCAAAGCUAGAAGAUACAAUUUACUCCGAAUAAUGCUAAUGUUUUGGACUGUGACAAUAAAAAAUCUCAACUAAGCUUAACUGGAAGAAUUUGCUCAGAUGACAGGUUUGAAAUAAGUGGAGUUAAACCAAUCUAGGAACAUCGAUAUGUUCUUCACCUUCUCUGCCCUUUAAAAACCAUUAAUGUGGUGAUGUGCUGGUGGUGGUUCAGUCCAUUGCUGCAAUGAUGGCCCUGAAGUCAAGUUUACUUGUAGAGGAGGGCCCUGUGGCGUCAGAUUUGUGGAGAAGCCAAUGAGGCCAGUGCCAAACUGUGCUCCGCCACCAACUCCUUACGUUCAACCCUUUGCUCCACAGCCAAACUACUAUGUUCAUCGAGAGCCACGAAUGCCGGCAGCAAAUCCCUCGCCCUUGGUGCUCGCAGCAUGAUGUGACUAAAACCCUUUAAGCUAGUCUUCAGGUUCUAGGCUUCUUUUCUCCUUUGCU